CAUAUUAUUAAGCGGAGGAAAAGAAAAUAACAAUGAUUCCCCCAGUAACGGCGAGUGAACAGGGAUAAGCCCAGCACCGAAGCCGAUGGAAUAUUUUCAUACGGCAAUGUGGUGUUUCAGCGUUGCAGCUGCUGGUAUGCACGGUCGUCUAAUUCGUCUUGAUUGCUCUUGCCCAUCGAGGGUGAAAGUCCUUUUGAGACGGCAUUCGUAUGCAUGCCAUGCUUUGCAAUGCUGUUGAGUCGGGCUGCUUGAAAAAGCAGCCUAAAGUAGGUGGUAAACAUCACCGAAGGCUAAAUAUGUGCGCGGGACCGAUAGUUCACAAGUACCGUGAGGGAAAGUUGAAAAGAACUCUGAAAAGAGGGUUAAAAGUACGUGAAACCGCUAACAGGUAAACGGGCAACGUCCGCAAGUCCUCCAAGAAAAUCCAUGCCUUCCCAGCUUCAUUUUACUUGAUCUCGGUUUGUGACUGAGGCCAUGCUUGUCGGUUAGAUCGGCUUACAUCCGCUCCGGGUGCAAGUCCCUAGUUGACACUUGGCUUCGGUGCGUUGUUGUCAUAAACGCCGAGAUCAUGAUCUUAUGAUUAUGUACCAGGGAGGGCUGUACCUUUUCUAGGAGGUGCGUCGCAACCGUCACUUGGAUGACCAGACGAACGAAGAGAGCUGCGGUAGCUCACCAUGGCUCGUUCUCGUGCCAACUUUGGUGUUCAACCGUUUACAAACUUCGUUACUCAACGAAUGGAGCAACACGCCACGCCCUGGCUUUAACACUCCAAUGAACGUCAACAGGUCUUCAGUGACRACAAAUCAAUUCAAUAUUCCAUGCGGUUGAUUGAUGCGCUUACCCAUGUAUACGCUCGAUCUCAGCUGGUUGCAACAAAUACGUGUUCGUCGAGUAUGUUUCCCUUGCGGUUACAACUCGAAAAGUUGUUUUGGAGCUUUCGUAUAACGAAAGCCCGGCAAUCGAUCACGAAUGUUACACAUGCGCAAGCAUGUUGUUGUAAUCUUCAGACUGAAAUACCGUUGGAGCUGGUACGCCUCAACCUGGGGCAACCAACCUCUGCUGUUUGAUGUGAUCUCAACGGUUACGUCAAGCAUAACUCAGGAUGAAUCGAUUGCGGCGAGUUGGCGACUUCGUUUCCCGCCCCGUCUUGAAACACGGACCAAGGAGUGUAGCAUGUGCGCGAGUUGGAUGGGCCAUCAACCCCUCAAGCGCAAUGAAAGUGAAGACGAAUGGCUAGCAUGGAUGCGCGUGCUUCCGCAUGUGUAUACAUUGCUGCCACCGUUGAGACGCGAUACUUGGCUUAACCAGUGUCAAGUGGCAGCGUCAACCCGCAUUAUUCGGCAUCAUUCCAUGUUUGCACCGGCUUCUGCUGAUGUGAGCAUGAGUGGUUGUCCUAGAUUAUGCGGAGUUAGAGCGUACAUGCUGCGACCCGAAAGAUGGUGAUCUAUGCGUGGCGAAGUCGAAGCCGAAGGAAACUUUGGUGGAGGACUGUAGCGAUUCUGACGUGCAAAUCGAUCGUCGCAGCUGCGUAUAGGGGCGAAAGACUAAUCGAACCAUCUUGUAGCUGGUUCCCCUCGAAGUUUCCCUCAGGAUAGCUGGCGCUUGCUCGCUUUAUGUAGUUUUAUCCGGUAAAGCGAAUGAUUAGAGGCAUUGGGGACACUGCGACCUCAACCUAUUCUCAAACUUUCAAUGGUUAAGCUUCCCGCUUUCCCCAACAGAAAGCGGUUGCUGUUGCCUACGUGGGCUCAGCUGUGCUUCAUUCACGUGAGUCGCAGUUGGGCUUGCAAAGCAAUCAGCAAAUGCGGUGACGCGCAUGAAUGCUUCAAGUGCCUAGUGGGCCAUUUUUGGUAAGCAGAACUGGCGCUGUGGGAUGAACCAAACGCCCGGUUAAGGCGCCUAACAUUGACACUCAUGAGAUCCCACGAAAAGGUGUUGGUUGAUAGAGACAGCAGGUCGG
rnacentral:rRNA from 1 species